rnacentral:tRNA from 1 species
AGCGGGAUAGUUCGAUGUCACUGCGGAAUGACGAAGAACACCGGUUCAGAUUCGUGAGGUCGCGGGUUCAAGCCCCGCUCCUGCUA